rnacentral:rRNA from 1 species
ACACCCGAAGUCGGUGAGGUAACCUUUUGGAGCCAGCCGCCGAAGGUGGGACAGAUGAUUGGGGUGAAGUCGUAACAAGGUAUCCCUACCGGAAGGUGGGGAUGGAUCACCUCCUUUCUAAGGAG